rnacentral:rRNA from 1 species
AUUGAACGCUGGCGGCAGGCCUAACACAUGCAAGUCGAGCGAGCGGCGGACGGGUGAGUAAUGUCUGGGGCUCUGCCCGAUAGAGGGGGAUAACUACUGGAAACGGUGGCUAAUACCGCAUACUAUCGGAUGAACCCAUAUGGGCUUAGCUAGUAGGUGGGGUAAAGGCUCACCUAGGCGACGAUCUCUAGCUGGGCUGAGAGGAUGAUCAGCCACACUGGGACUGAGACACGGACCAGACUCAUACGGGAGGCAGCAGUGGGGAAUAUUGCACAAGGGGCGCAAGCCUGAUGCAGCCAGGCCGCGUGUAUGAAGAAGGCCGUAGGGGUGUAAAGUACUUUCAGCGGGGAGGCGUUACCCGCAGAAGAAGCACCGGCUAACUCCGUGCCAGCCGCCGCGGGAAUUC